UGACUAAUCAUCAAUAGAUUGAUUUUCUUUAGGACGGACUUGUUUGAUCUUGCAGUCCAAGGGACUCUCAAGAGUCUUCUCUAAUAUCACAGUUCAAAAGCAUCAGUUCUUCGCUGCUCAGCAUUCUUUGUGGUGCAACUCUCA